UCCAGGUGAAAAGAAACUUGAGGGGUUUUUACUUUUUUCUGUUUGUUGAUCCUGCUUUGCUGCUUUCUUGAUGGCAGCUUUUCCUGAUAACUUGGUAGCCAUAUCUUUUUAUCUUUUUUUCUUCUUCCUCACUCCCCUUAUUUCUUCUCCUUUUCCUUCAAUAAGAAGUUAUUCAGUGUUCGCUUUUUCCUCUUUUUUUUCCC